rnacentral:rRNA from 1 species
UACGAAGGGGGCUAGCGUUGCUCGGAAUCACUGGGCGUAAAGCGCGCGUAGGCGGUCUGUUGCGUAGGCGGUGAAAGCCCCAGGCUCACCUUGGGGGAGGUCCGUCUAAACGAGCAGACUGGAGGGCGGUAGGGGCUGGCGGAACGCCCGGAGUAGCGGUGAAAUGCGUUGAGAUCGGGCAGAACACCAGUGGCGAAGGCGGCCGGCUGGGCCGUACCUGACGCUGAGGCGCGAAAGCAGGAGGCGGA